CUGGAUGCUUCUGAGGAGUGCUGCUCAUGAAAGAUGAAUACUGUUUGGAGAAAGGAUGAGGAUAUUACAGACAUCCUGCUCUGCCCUUGACCUUCACUGCAGAGUCAUUGCACUGUGGCCUUGCUGAAUUGCCAGCAGAUAUUAGUACAACCUAGAAACAUUCUCUGAACUGGGAUUGCAAAUAAUGCUCAAUAACACAAGGCUGAAAUAACAACAGUGGGCAUUAGAGAAUAUGCUGGGAUGCCCUACCUCCAUUGGAGAGCAACUUUCAUCUCCAGCCCAGCAGUAAUAUGGCAUUACCAGUGCAAUAAAGAACUGAGUUACAUCACCAUCCUAAACAGAGGACGAGAGAAAUUACAAAGUCUGCUAUCACUAUUUCAACUCUUGGGCUCUUUCAAGAGAAAAUUGGUUCUUGUAUCCUCUCAAUAAUUUAGUCUACAGCAGAGAAUGGUAUUUACCAGAAAAAACUGCAGAGCAUUUCAUCCUCUCAUCCAGCAAAUGGCCUGUGUUUCUUUUGUUUGUCCCUAGAACUGUGGAAGUGCUACCACUUUACAUUUGACUAAACGCAUUCCUUAGGUAUUAUAAUAUAAAAGUACCGUGUUUACUGAGUGAGUGGUCAGGGACUAUGUAAAAAUUGUAGCCAAAUGGCUCCCAGUUGUACACUUCUUUCGUAUCCUCAGGCAUCCUUUUACUGAAAUGGCAGCACAUCAACCACUGCAGAAAAGCUGAAUCUUGAGGACAGCAUAGCUGUGAUGCUGCCAUAUCAGAGCUAAUUACUCUUAGGUUUCCACUUGGCUAAUUAGCUUCCACGUAACGCAACAGUAUCACAUUCAUUUCAUUUUUAGUUGCAGAUCUAUGUUGGACAGUGCUUGUCUCAGGGAAGGAACCUCUGCAAACUACAGAACUCUUCUGUGCAAGGUACGCAUAUGCUGGUUUAGUGUAAAUCUAAUUGAAAGUACUAUUGCAAUGGCAUAUAAUGCAACCUUUAGUGCCCAAUUGCUUGUCCACAACAAGUGGAACACAUUCUGUAUAUCUACAUUAAGAGGCUGGUUAAUUUGUUUGUCACAUGGGAUGCUAUGUUCAGAUUUGUUGAUACCACUUUCUGAUAA
ensembl:lncRNA